rnacentral:rRNA from 1 species
AGCGAACGCUGGCGGCAGGCUUAACACAUGCAAGUCGAACGGAUCCUUCGGGAUUAGUGGCGGACGGGUGAGUAACACGUGGGAACGUGCCUUUUGGUUCGGAACAACACAGGGAAACUUGUGCUAAUACCGGAUGUGCCCUUCGGGGAAGGAUUAUCGCCAUUAGAGCGGCCCGCGUCUGAUUAGCUAGUUGGUGAGGUAAAGGACUCACCAAGGCUACAAUCAGUAGCUGGCUGAGAGGAUGAUCAGCCACACUGGGACUGAGACACGGCCCAGACUCCUACGGGAGGCAGCAGUGGGGAA